GUGCAGUGCUGGGGGGCACAGCGGGGACGUCCUUCCCGUCCCACCGCUGAGCCCCGUUACCCUGCAGG
ensembl:miRNA gga-mir-12220 gga-mir-12220